rnacentral:rRNA from 1 species
GACGAACCGUGCGAACGUUGUUCGGAAUCACUGGGCUUAAAGGGCGCGUAGGCGGGUCACCAAGUCUGGGGUGAAAUCUUUCGGCUCAACCGGAAAAUUGCCUUGGAUACUGGUGGUCUCGAGGGAGGUAGGGGCAUGUGGAACUUCCAGGUGUAGCGGUGAAAUGCGUAGAUAUCUGGAAGAACACCAGUGGCGAAGGCGGUCAACUGGCUCUUAACUGACGCUCAGGCACGAAAGCGUGGGUAGCGAACAGG